rnacentral:ribozyme from 11 species
UUCUUUCUUUCUCUUUCUUUCUUUCUUUCUUUCCUUCUUUUUUUUCUUGUGUGAUCAAAAAAACAGGAGGGAAGA